UGCCCGGGCCUGUGUGGGCUCCGCCCAUCGACCGAUGCGGGGCGGGGCGGGGCGGGGUUCCCCUCGCCUCCCGACUGCCCUUUCACCUGCGGCCUCUGAGCAGGCUGGUUCGCUCUGCGGAGCUCUGGACGCGUGCGGGAAUGAUCAGUGUUGGGCUUCAGGUAGAUGAGACCCCAGGAUAUAUAAGAAGCAGUAUUCUUUGCCCUCCUGAAGAGAGGACAUAGUGGGUAGGCUGCACAUGGAGUUUUCAGCUAAAUGUCCUUUCAGAUACCUUCAUGUGAAUGAGGACCCUGCCUCCAUUGGGACUUCAGAUGUCUGACAGCCCUGUGUCACACUGAGCAAUCAAAGAAACAUGUCCUGUGGUGGUGGAGGUCGAACUCACAACCUCGCACUUGCCAGGGAGGAACUUGUGCCACAGAGCUAAAUCCACAAGAUCUACCUGUGAUAGUAUGGGUUUUACAUGUGCAUUUCCUUCUGCCUGAAUACUGUUUUACUCCCUUCCUUUGGUUAAUAACCUGAUGGUCAAGUAUUAGUUCAAGGGGCUGGGGAUUUAGCUCAGCACCAUAAGCACCUGCCUUGCAAGGAGGCAGUUGUGAGUUCGAUGUCCGGUACUGAUGAAAAGAAAAAAAAAAGUAUUAGCUCAAACUUCAGAUUUUGAGGAAAGCUUCCCAUUUCUCAGAUUACCCAUCUAGCUAAGUUUAUAAAGUCCUUUUUAUUGGUUCAGUGUCUGUCUUCAUAUAAAUUCCUUGAGGACAAAGAUUACUUUUAUCUAAGGUUUUUUGGUGGUUUUGUUUUGUGUGGUUGUUUGUGGUUUUUUGUUUGUUUGUUCUUGUUUUUGAGACGGAGUCUCACUAUGUAUUUAAGGCUGGUCUUGAACUCAAUCUGUAACUUACACAAGGAUCCUCCUGCCUCAUCCUCCUGAGUGCUAGGAUUAUAGGUAUGUGCCACCUUACCUGGUUUGUUUGGUUUAUUAAGACAGAGUUUUGCUAUGUAGUUCAGGCUGGCCUUGAACUUAUUAUGUAGCCCAGGUUGAUUUUUUUUGUUUGUUUGUUUUGGCACGGGGGAGUGAACUCAAUACCUCACACUUGCCAGGCAGACACUUACGCCACUGAGCUAAAUUCCUGGCACUAGGUUGAUUUCUAAUGUACAGCAAACCUCCUGUUUUAGUCUUCCAGAGUGCUAGGAUUACAGUUUGCCUGUUUCCCUGAGGCUUACCUUAAUGACCCAGGAGGCACUCCCAAAAUACUUCCAUUAUUAGAUUAAAAUUGUCUAAUGUCAUGAACUGGGGCUUGUUAGUCAGCCCAAGGUGUUACCCUUUUUUUUUUCUACGCUAGUACUGGGCAUUGAACACAGGGUCUUUGCACUGAGCUGUAUGCCCAGCCUCUCUUCCCUCAUUUAAAUUUUUAAAUUUUGAGACAAGAUCUGGCUAACUUACCCAGAUGGAAUUAUAUGAUCCUGCUACCUCAACCUCAGUUAGUAGUGGCAUUAGAGGUGUGGGCACAUCACUGUGCUGACUUUAUUUUUAUAGCAUGCUAUUCAGAAAGUGCCUAAUUACAUCUCUAAGACUACUAGCUUUCUCACGUUUGUCUUUUUGUCUUUUAUCAAAUGGGAUGUUAAAAGCAGUCAUCUAGGGGCUGGGGAUUUAGUUCAGUGGUGUAAUGAGGUCAUGAGUUGGAUCCCCAGCACCAAAACAAAACAAAAAAAAGUAGUCACCUAUCAGUUAUUGUAAAGUUGUGUGUAGUUGCUUUCUAAAACUUUAGUGUAAAUUGUUUUGCUUUCUCAUAGUAAGCAUUCUAUAAUUAUCAUUGUGAUGGAAAAUUCCUGCCUUCCAAAUCUCACAUGCUUGAGUGGUUUAUCUGAAAAAUCUCUACAGGAAUUUGGAACAAGUAUCUCACUUCCAAGGGUGUUUUGCAAUCAAAUUCAACAAAUGGCAAUGUCACUCUUUUCUGGUCUUUUUGAGGGAAUGGGCUGGCGGCCUUCUACCAGUGAUUAUCCUGCACUGAAAUUUCUAAGAUUAAAAACCAGGUGUAUGGGGCUGGGGAUUUAGCUCAGCGGCAUAAGCACCUGCCUUGUAAGCAGGCGGUCAUGAGUUCGAUCCCCGGUACCGAUACAAAAGAAAAAAAAAAAAAAAACAAAAAAAAAACAGGUGUUUUUUUUAACACAUAGCAAAGGUUUUUAAUCCUGUGAUCUCAGCACUCCAGAGGCUCAAGCAGGUAGAUUGUCCAGAGUUGGAGGCCAGCCUGGGCUACAUAGUAAGUUGGAAGGCAAGCCUCACAACCUGAGACCUUAUCGCAAACAAAGCAAAACGAUUUGGGGAAGCAGUUCAGUACAAAUGCUCUAGUUCAAUACCCAGGACCUCAAAGGAAAAACAAAACAACCUUCUGUAGAUAAUUUACGAUAGAAAUUAAGUUUAAACCAGGUAAUCCCGCCUAUUACU